rnacentral:lncRNA from 1 species
CCAGAUAAUGCCGUGGUCAUCACGUGGCAGGUGCCCUUGAAAAGUUUCAUUUACCUUUUUUUUUUUUCCCCCUGCUACAAACCCCAUCAAUAUUUAUUUCCCAUAUCUGCAGCAGGAAACGCUUUGGAUAAUCAGUCUCUUCCAUACUAUCAAAAAAUAGGCAAAAACUGUCCUUGCAGUACGUGUGCAUGAGUACAUGAUAUAUCUAAAUGAGAAUGAAAGCCCUCCAGCAAUCAAGUAUGCACACAAGUUAAGAGAAGUGACACCAAUACACACACUUCAGCACAUAUACAUGCAUACUCACAAAAAAAUCAUAUCCUGGAUUUAAAAGGCUUCGAGAUUAAAGGCCCAAGGGGCUUAAAACUUAAAGAAAUAUUUCUUCCACCUCAUUGCAUAUUCAUGAGUGAGUAUUUUGGCAAGCAGACUGAGCAAAAUAGCUUACAGAAUUAUGGAAGGAAGAUUAUUGUUGAUUCCUGUGUGCCACAACAGUGCUUUCACAGAGAGAAAGGAAAAUGUAAAUAAUCAUCCAAAUGACUGCAUUGACACAGGCAUUUGUGUCUUCUGGGGUUGCCAUAUUACACCUAAACAAGUCUCAUGUCACUUAGCUGACAACCCGGCAGGUUUGGGACAUCACCGCAGUGCUGGCAGAUGUGACGUGACCUCUGAGAGUCCUGUGCUCUUGAAAUGGCAGGUAAGAAUUAGGAAGCAUUCCUAG